UACAUCUGAUCCACCGAGGGAUAAAGAAGCAACGACCUCCAGCCAGUACCUCUGCGGCAAGCACAUCCUGCGCCGUGCGCGACAACACAACGACGAGGAGGAGCCUCCGAGGCGGUGGCCUCUGGCCGGUAGCUCUGCGGCGAGCAGGUCCGGCGACACCAGGACGAGGGGAUAAAAGAAUAAGGAAAAGAAAAGGAGAUAAACAGGAGCAAGACACUGAAGCUAGGAAGUACAAAAAGACAUACCAAGAUCCUACUACAACCCUUCUGGAAAAUCAAUGUUCCUAUGGAGAAUUGGAGAAUUGUAGCAACAUCAGUGAAGACAGAAAAAAUACUUGCACUAGAACCAGUGCAAAAGCUUCACAUUUUUUUUGUAUUUAUUUAUUUUUAUUUCCAUAAGAUAUUGUUUUACCAAUAAAUCAGCAAAUCCAUUUUAUCUAUAGCCACAAAUGCACUGAAUUUUAGUAUGGAACUAAUUAAAAACAAUAACCAAUCAGAAAUAUAUAUAAAAAUAUCAACACUAUCUAUUGAAAUUUGAAAAUUUUGUGCGAUGGUUGUAAGAAACUGUAAUACAAAUGGAAUGGAUGUACUGUACAAAAGAUGUACGCUAGGAAUUAUUAGAGAAUGGCAAUAGAAUAGCUCUAUUGCCCCAUUGUAUGUAUGAUCAAUAAUUGUAGCUCCUAUUAAUC